rnacentral:rRNA from 1 species
UUAACGCUGGCUGUGUGCCUAAUACAUGCAUGUUGAACGAAGAACCUAGCUUGCUAGGUUACUUAGUAGCGAAUGGGUGAGUAACACGUACCUAACCUACCUUAAAGUUUGGGAUAACACUUGGAAACAGGUGCUAAUACCGAAUACGUAGUCUUUUCGCAUGAAGAGACUUCAAAAGGCGCCUUAAAGCGUCGCUUUGAAAUGGGGGUGCGGAACAUUAGCUAGUUGGUGGGGUAAUGGCCUACCAAGGCGAUGAUGUUUAGCUGGGUUGAGAGACUGAACAGCCACACUGGGACUGAGAUACGGCCCAGACUCCUACGGGAGGCAGCAGUAGGGAAUUUUCCACAAUGAGCGAAAGCUUGAUGGAGCGACACAGCGUGCAGGAUGACGGCCUUCGGGUUGUAAACUGCUGUUAUAAGGGAAGAAAAACUAGGGUAGGAAAUGACCUUAGCAUGACUGUACCUUGUCAGAAAGCGACGGCUAACUAUGUGCCAGCAGCCGCGGUAAUACAUAGGUCGCAAGCGUUAUCCGGAAUUAUUGGGCGUAAAGAGUUCGUAGGUUGUUUGUUAAGUCUGAAGUUAAAUCCUGGAGCUCAACUCCAGUCUGCUUUAGAUACUGACAAACUAGAAUUGCAAAGAGGUUAGUGGAAUUCCUAGUGAAGCGGUGGAAUGCGUAGAUAUUAGGAAGAACACCAAUGGCGAAGGCAGCUAACUGGUUGCAUAUUGACACUGAGGAACGAAAGCGUGGGGAGCAAACAGGAUUAGAUACCCUGGUAGUCCACGCCGUAAACGAUGAUCAUUAGCCGGUAGGAUACUUACUGGCGCAGCUAACGCGUUAAAUGAUCCGCCUGAGUAGUAUGCUCGCAAGAGUGAAACUUAAAGGAAUUGACGGGGACCCGCACAAGCGGAGGAGCAUGUGGUUUAAUUUGAAGAUACGCGUAGAACCUUACCCACUCUUGACAUCCUGUGCAAUGCUAUAGAGAUAUAGCGGAGGUUAACACAGUGACAGAUGGUGCAUGGUUGUCGUCAGCUCGUGUCGUGAGAUGUUAGGUUAAGUCCUGCAACGAGCGCAACCCUUGUCUUUAGUUACUAACGAGUAAUGUCGAGGACUCUAGAGAGACUGCCGGGGUAACCCGGAGGAAGGUGGGGAUGACGUCAAAUCAUCAUGCCUCUUACGAGUGGGGCAACACACGUGCUACAAUGGUCGGUACAAAGAGAAGCAAUAUGGUGACAUGGAGCAAACCUCAAAAAACCGAUCUCAGUUCGGAUCGAAGUCUGCAACUCGACUUCGUGAAGUCGGAUUCGCUAGUAAUCGCAGAUCAGCUACGCUGCGGUGAAUACGUUCUCGGGUCUUGUACACACCGCCCGUCACACCAUGGGAGUUGGUAAUGCCCGAAGUCGGUUAGUUAACUUUAUUGAAACGGCUGCCUAAGGCAGGACUGAUGACUGGGGUGAAGUCGUAACAAGGUAUCCCUACGAGAACGUGGGGAUGGAUCACCUCCUUUCUACGGAGUACAUAUAUUUAUCCUAAGUGAUAAAUUCAUCUUUGGCUGUAAAAUCCUUUAAAAUCAAUAAAUUAUUUUAAAGGCGUGUUAUGUUGUGUAUAAGCCAGCAAAUAUUCUUGUAUCCAGUUUUGAGAGCUCUAUGUUCUCAAAAAAUAGUUCUUUGAAAACUGAAUAGCAAAAUACCAAUGAAAUGAAAAUUUCAUAAUAUUUUAACGAAAACGACAUCAAAUAUUUUUAUUAAUAUUUGAUAACCGAGGUAAAAAAAGAAAUUUUUUUACAACCAAAUUGAUCAAAAUUAAAUUGCUUAGAUAUACAAAUCUAAAACAAUAGGCUUAAAAAAAUAAAGUUAUUGGCUUUUAAAUAAGUAAGAGUAUAUGGUGGAUGCCUUGGGUCUGGAAGUCGAUGAAGGACGUGAUUACCUGCGAUAAGUCUUGUGGAGCUGGAUAUACGCUAUGAUACAGGAAUUUCCGAAUGGGGGAACCCAACUGGAUUAAUCUCCAGUUACUACUUAAUGAAUACAUAGUUAAGUAAGAGAGACACGUUGUGAAUUGAAACAUCUUAGUAGCAACAGGAAAAGAAAAUAAAUAAUGAUUCUGUCAGUAGCGGCGAGCGAACGCGGAAGAGCCCAAACCUUCUUUUGAAGGGGUUGUAGGGCAGUCUAUAUAGAGUUACAAAUUUUUACUAUAGCAGAAGAAGUUGGGAAGCUUCAGCACAGAGGGUGAUACUCCCGUAAGCGAAAUAGUAAAAACUCUUGACUGUACCCUGAGUAGGGCGGGGCACGUGAAACCCUGUCUGAAUCCGCCGGGACCACCCGGUAAGGCUAAAUACUAACCAGACACCGA